GCAAAGGUCAUUUUUGGUGGCUUUAAAAAGGCAAGAAGGGAAGGAAGAAAAUUAUACAGCCUUACCUUACAAAAAUGGCUAGUCUUACUGUUCCGGCAGAAGUUCCUUCAGUUGCUGAAGACUGUGAACAACUCCGAGCUGCCUUCAAAGGUCUACUACUAAUCUCUUUGAUCUUUUAAGUAUAUUCUAUACAUCUAGUUGUGAUGGUUUAGAUUGAGUUUUGAUGGUUACUGUGUGCAGCAGGAUGGGGAACAAACGAGAAGUUGAUCAUAUCAAUUUUGGCUAAUAGAAAUGCUGCUCAACGCAAGUUGAUUCAACAGACUUAUGCUGAGACUUUUGGUGAAGAUAUCCUUAAAGAGUUGGACAGAGAACUUACCAAUGAUUUGAGAAAUUGAUGGCAGUGUGGACAUUGAAUCCUUCAGAGCGCGAUGCCUAUUUGGCUAAGGAAGCUACUAAGAGAUGGACAAAAAGCAAUUUUGUUCUUGUGGAACUAGCUUGUACCAGAUCUCCUAAAGAAUUGGUUUUGGGAAGGGAAGCUUAUCAUGCUCGUUUGAGGUUUUUUUCUUAAGAUAAUAACAUGAAACAAGUUUAAUAAAACCUUAGAUCAAAGGCGCGGAUUUAUUUUGAUCUGUUGAAAAGAAACCAUGCUUUUAGUACAUGUACACAUGCUAGAAAAUGUAUCCUUAUAACAACCAUACUUUUGAUUCUAGAUCCUUGUAUGAAAAGGCUAACACUUAGGUUUUUCUCUCAGAAAUUGGUGGUAGUGUGGACAUUGGAUCCUCCAGAGCGCGAUGCCUAUUUGGCUAAGGAAGCUACUAAGAGAUGGACAAAAAGCAAUUUUGUUCUUGUGGAACUAGCUUGUACCAGAUCUCCUAAAGAAUUGGUUUUGGCAAGGGAAGCUUAUCAUGCUCGUUACAAGAAAUCUCUU
rnacentral:lncRNA from 1 species